rnacentral:misc_RNA from 1 species
CACAAAUAUGAAUAAGCAGACCCUCAUUGGGGCGUAACGUCACGCCGUGUCCGCAAUAGCGUCAUUGCUGUUGAUGCUGACGCGGCGGUGGGGUGGUAACGCCCUUUUGGGCCAGUCUGACUCCAUAUUCACCCAUGUCUUUUGCGUACUACUUGUUUCCUUGGCGGGUUCGCCCGCCAAUUGGACCCAAUUAAACCUUUUUUGUAAUUGCAAUCAGCGUCAGCAAAACAAUGUAAUAAAUUA